rnacentral:rRNA from 1 species
AGAUUGAACGCUGGCGGCAUGCCUAACACAUGCAAGUCGAACGGGAGUAGCAAUACUCUAGUGGCGGACGGGUGAGGAAUACGUAGGAAUUUGCCCUUAAGUGGGGGAUAACCCGGGGAAACCCGGAUUAAUACCGCAUGACCUCGAAAGAGCAAAGUGGGGGAUCGCAAGACCUCACGCUUUUGGAGAAGCCUACGUCGGAUUAGCUAGUUGGUGAGGUAAUGGCUCACCAAGGCGACGAUCCGUAACUGGUCUGAGAGGAUGAUCAGUCACACCGGAACUGAGACGACGGUCCGGACUCCUACGGGAGGCAGCGAGUGGGGAAUAGUUGGACAAGUGGGCGCAAGCCUGAUCCAGCAAUGCGCGUGUGUGAAGAGCUUCGGUGUAAGAGUACUUAGUAGGUAAGAAACUACGACACUACAC